rnacentral:tRNA from 1 species
UUCCUGGUGGCUUAGUGGUAAAGAAUCUGCCUGCCAAUGCAGAAGAAGCAGGUUCCAUCUGGCUCAGGAAG